CCUGGCUCAGAUUGAACGCUGGCGGCAUGCCUAACACAUGCAAGUCGAACGGCAGCAUGGUCUAGCUUGCUAGACUGAUGGCGAGUGGCGGACGGGUGAGUAACGCGUAGGAAUAUGCCUUAAGGAGGGGGACAACUUGGGGAAACUCAAGCUAAUACCGCAUAAGCUCUAAGGAGUAAAGCUGGGGACCUCCGGGCCUGGCGCUUUAAGAUUAGCCU
rnacentral:rRNA from 1 species